rnacentral:rRNA from 1 species
GACGAACGCUGGCGGCGUGCUUAACACAUGCAAGUCGAACGGAAAGGCCUCUUUCGGGGGGUACUCGAGUGGCGAACGGGUGAGUAACACGUGAGUAACCUGCCCUUGACUUUGGGAUAACUUCAGGAAACUGGGGCUAAUACCGGAUAGGAGCUCCUGCUGCAUGGUGGGGGUUGGAAAGUUUCGGCGGUUGGGAAUGGACUCGCGGCUUAUCAGCUUGUUGGUGGGGUAGUGGCUUACCAAGGCUUUGACGGGUAGCCGGCCUGAGAGGGUGACCGGCCACAUUGGGACUGAGAUACGGCCCAGACUCCUACGGGAGGCAGCAGUGGGGAAUAUUGCACAAUGGGUGGAAGCCUGAUGCAGCAACGCCGUGUGCGGGAUGACGGCCUUCGGGUUGUAAACCGCUUUCGCUCAUGACGAAGCUUUGUGUGACGGUAGUGGGUAAAGAAGCACCGGCUAACUACGUG